UUCUGGCUCAGAACGAACGCUGGCGGCAUGGAUUAGGCAUGCAAGUCGAACGGUGCAGCAAUGCAUAGUGGCGCAAGGGUGAGGAACGCGUGAGUAAUCUGCCCUCAAGUUGGGAACAGCUUCUGGAAACGGAAAUUAAUACCGAAUGUGAUCUAUGGGAGGCAUCUUUCAUGGAUUAAAGGCCGCAAGGUCGCUUGAGGAGGGGCUCGCGUCCCAUUAUGCUAGUUGGUGAGGUAAAGGCCCACCAAGGCGAAGAUGGGUAGCUGGUCUGAGAGGACGAUCAGCCACACUGGGACUGAGAACUGCCCAGACUCCUACGGGAGGCUGCAGUCGAGAAUUUUGGGCAAUGGACGAAAGUCUGACCCAGCCAAUGCCGCGUGCGGGAUGAAGGUCUUCGGAUUGUAAACCGCUGUCAAGUGGGACGAAACAAAUGACGGUACCGCUGAAGGAAGUCACGGCUAACUACGUGCCAGCAGCCGC
rnacentral:rRNA from 1 species